UCCAAUUCAUUUGGUUUAAGACUAGACUUUAAAACUCAGAAACAAAGAAGAUGUGCAACCAGGUAUGAUCAGAUCUCUACUUCUAUUCCUAGAGUCAUACAUAAAAUCAUCUUUAACACAAAUAUCUAUACGCAAACAUUUCAAAUAGAUUAGCCUUUAAUCUACUUAGAAAGAUACAACAACAACAACAACAACCCAGUAAAAUCCCACUAAUGGAGGGUAGUGUGUACGCAGACCUUACCCCUACUCCGAAAUGUAUGGUUGCUGAUCAUUAAACCAUAACUGCAUUGUUUACCAGUUAAAUAAAAUAAACCCUCUUCAUCUUACCUUAAGAUUACUACUAAUGGAAGCUACAUGUGGAAGGAGAAGAAAGUUAGAGUUGGUAUUGAUUAUAAGGAAGAUAGAUGGAUUAAUGGUCCUGGCAUUCUCAGAAUGAUUUAUUGUAGCAAUAAUAUGAUUCAGUUGUCUUGUAAGACUAUAUUUCAUGAUUUCUUCAAAUGGGAUGGGUAAUGUUCUCCUUGAAAUAGAUUCCUAACUCAUUGUAGAUAUGAUUAGUUGUGAUCAUAUAAAAUGCUUCAUGUGGAAGCAAAAAAAAAAAACCUGGAAUUGGGGGGAUUAUAAGGGUCCUGGCAUUCUCAGAAUCCUAGAUUUACUGUAGCAAUAAUAUGAUUCAAGAUGCCUUGUAGAACUAGAUUUCAUUUUCUUAAAAGGGGUGGAUAAUGUUCUCAUUGAAAUAAGAUUUCAAGAUCAUUGUGAAUAUGAUUAAUAAUGAUCAUAAUGCUAAAUGUGGGAUGAGGAAAAAUCUAGAGUUGAGGGGCUAGAUUUCAUUUCCUCAAAUGUAUUUAAAACUCAUUGUGAAUAUGAUCAAUGGCGAUCAUAACUCUUCAUGUGGAAGCAGAAUAAAGUUGUAGAUGUAUCAAUGGUCCCGACAUCUUUUGAAUUUUAUUUUCUCAAAUGGGAUGGAUAAUGUUCUUGAAAUAGAUUCAAAAUGUAUUCAUGAUAUGAUUAUUGGUGAUCAUAAUGCUCAUGUAGAAGGUGAAAGAAACUGGAAUUUGAGGGAUUAUAAAGGUAGAUGGAUCAAUGGUCCAGACAUUCUCUGAAUCCUAAAUAUACUAUAGCUAUGAUAUGAUUCAGGCUACCUUAUAGGAUAAGAUUUAAUUUUCUCAAACGGGAUAGAUAAUGUUCUCCUAUAAUAUGAUUCUAAUGUGGAUAUAAUUAAUGGUGAUCAAUGGUCCUGGCAUUCUCUAGAUCCUAGAUUUACUGUAGCAAUGAUAUGAUUUAGAUUACCUUGUUAAACUGAAUUUUAUUUCCUCAAAUGAGAUGCAUAAUGGUACUCUUGAAUAGGAUUCCAAAUUCACUGGGGAUAUGAUGAAUGGUGAUCAUAAUGCUUCAAGUGGAAGGAGAAAAAAGCUGGAGUUGAGUGGACUAUACAGAAGGAAGAUGGAUCAAUGGUCUUAGCAUUCAUUGAAUUAUAAUUAUGAUUCAGGGUGCCUUGCUAAACUAGGUUAUGUUUCCUCAAAUGAGAUGGAUAAUGUUCUCCUUUAAAUGUAUUUAAAACUCAUUUUGGAUAUGAUUAUUUGUGAUCAUAAUGCUUCAUGUGGAAGGAGAAGAAAACUUAAAUCUGGGGGAUUAUAAGGAAGGCGGAUGGAUCAAUAUCUUGGCAUUCUUUGAAUCAUAAACUUACUAUAGCAAUAAUAUGAACCGGACUAUCUUGUAGGACUAGAUUUUAUUUUCUCAAAUGGGAUGGAUAAUGUUCGCAUUUAAUAGGACUGCAUUUUUAUUAUGGAUAUGAUUAAUGAUGAUCAUAAUGCUUCACGUAAAAGGAGAAGAAAG
rnacentral:lncRNA from 1 species